GGUUCUCCCAACUCGUUAUAUCAGCUAGGCAGGUUUAGAAGUAUUUUAGGCUCGGCUUAACAACAAUAAACUAAAAGUUUGACCUCAAAUCAGGUAGGACUACCCGCUGAACUUAAGCAUAUCAAUAAGCGGAGGAAAAGAAACCAACAGGGAUUGCCUCAGUAACGGCGAGUGAAGCGGCAAAAGCUCAAAUUUGAAAUCUAGCACCUUCGGUGUUCGAGUUGUAAUUUGAAGAUGGUAACCUUGGGUUUGGCUCUUGUCUAUGUUCCUUGGAACAGGACGUCAUAGAGGGUGAGAAUCCCGUCUGAUGAGAUGCCCAUUCCUAUGUAAGGUGCUAUCGAAGAGUCGAGUUGUUUGGGAAUGCAGCUCUAAGUGGGUGGUAAAUUCCAUCUAAAGCUAAAUAUUGGCGAGAGACCGAUAGCGAACAAGUACAGUGAUGGAAAGAUGAAAAGAACUUUGAAAAGAGAGUGAAAAAGUACGUGAAAUUGUUGAAAGGGAAGGGCAUUAGAUCAGACUUGGUGUUUUACGAUUAUCUUCUCUUCUUGAGUUGUGCACUCGUAUUUCACUGGGCCAGCAUCGAUUCGGAUGGCAAGAUAAUGGCAGUUGAAUGUGGCUUCACUUCGGUGGAGUGUUAUAGCUUCUGCUGAUAUUGCCUGUCUGGAUCGAGGGCUGCGUCUUUGACUAGGAUGCUGGA
rnacentral:rRNA from 1 species